rnacentral:rRNA from 1 species
ACAAGCAUUAAGGGCAUAUGGUGGAUGCCUUGGCAGAAGUAGGCGAUGAAGGACGUGGCUGGCUGCGAUAAGCCUCGGGGAGCCGUCAAGCGGGCAUAGAUCCGGGGAUUUCCGAAUGGGGUAACCCAGGUUUGGUAAACCAAACCUAUCCCGAAAGGGAAGCAAACUCAGGGAAUUGAAACAUCUUAGUACCUGAAGGAAGAGAAAGUAACAACGAUUCUCCAAGUAGCGGCGAGCGAACGGGGAAUAGCCUAAACUCUUUUUGUGUUAAAGCCCGUAUGCGUUGCAAAAAGAGGGUUGAGGGAGAUAGAUUUGCCUUAUACGGAGAGGCAAGAGAGUUACAAAAUUGAUGGUUAGUCGAAGCGAUCUGGAAAGGUCAAUCAUAGAAGGUGACAAUCCUGUAGAUGAAAAUUAUCAAUCUCUCUUUCUGUCAUCCCAAGUACUCCGGGACACGAGAAAUCCCGAGGGAAUCCGGGAGGACCACCUCCUAAGGCUAAAUACUCACUUCUGACCGAUAGUGAACUAGUACCGUGAGGGAAAGGUGAAAAGGACCCCGGUGAGGGGAGUGAAAAGAACCUGAAACCAUAUGCCUACAAGCUAUAGGAGUCCAUAGUUAGAUUUAUCCAACUAUGGGUGACUGUGUACCUUUUGUAUAAUGGGCCGGCGAGUUACUUUAUCUGGCAAGGUUAACCAAAUCUUUUGGGAAGCCGUAGCGAAAGCAAGUCCUAAAAGGGCGUUCAGUCAGAUGUAGUAGACCCGAAACCGGGUGAUCUACCCAUGGUCAGGGUGAAGCGAGGGUAAAAUCUCGUGGAGGCCCGAACCUGUUAGCGGGAAAAUGCUAUAGGAUGAACUGUGGGUAGGAGUGAAAGGCUAAUCAAACUCGGCAAUAGCUGGUUCUCUUCGAAAUAGCUUUAGGGCUAGCCUCGAAUGAUCAGUUUUGGUGGUAGAGCUCUGAAUGGGUUCCAGACCUAACCCGUCUGGCAUCUAAUCAAACUUCAAAUGCCAUUACUCAAAGUUCGGGAGUCAGGCUGUGGGGGAUAAGCUCCAUAGCCGAGAAGGAAACAACCUAGACUAUCGGCUAAGGUCCCUAAGAGCAGGCUAAGUGGUAAAGGAAGUGGAGUCGCUAAGACAACCAGGAUGUUGGCUUAGAAGCAGCAAUCAUUUAAAGAGUGCGUAAAAGCUCACUGGUCAAGAGACUUUGCGCCGAAAAUUUACGGGGCUUAAGCCUGCCGCCGAAGCCAUAGAUUAACGAUUUAUUCGUUGGUGGUAGAAGAGCGUUCUGUACUCGCUGAAGUCAUACCGUGAGGUAUGGUGGAGGAUACAGAAGCGAGAAUGCCGGCAUGAGUAGCGAUAAAAAGGGUGAGAAUCCCUUUCACCGAAAGUCUAAGGUUUCCUGAGGAAGGUUCGUCCGCUCAGGGUUAGUCGGUCCCUUAGGCGAGGCCGAAAGGCGUAGCUGAUGGGUAACAGGUUAAUAUUCCUGUACUACUUCUAUAAUGUUAUUAUCUGAGGGGUGACGUAGAAGGGUAAGCCAUGCCUGGCGUUGGUUGUCCAGGUUUAAGUCUGUAGGAGGAGGUUCCAGGUAAAUCCGGAACCUUAUAAACUCUGAAAGGCGAUAAGGAGCCAUUUUAGGCGAAGUGGCUGAUCCCAGGCUAACUAGAAAUAGCCUCGCAGAUAGUUAUAGGAGUGACCGUACCGCAAACCGACACAGGCAGACGGGAAGAAAAUUCUAAGGUGCGCGGGAUAACCCUCGUUAAGGAACUCUACAAAUUAGCCCCGUAACUUCGGGAGAUGGGGUGCCCAACGUUGUGACAGGUUUAUAUUUGUUGCAAUGUUGGGUUGCAGUAACCAGGCCUGAGCGACUGUUUACCAAAAACACAGGGCUCUGCUAAGUCGAAAAGACAAUGUAUAGGGCCUGACACCUGCCCGGUGCUGGAAGGUUAAGGAAGGUUGUUAUCUGCCUCUGGCAGAGAAGCUCCCGACCGAAGCCCCAGUAAACGGCGGCCGUAACUAUAACGGUCCUAAGGUAGCGAAAUUCCUUGUCGGGUAAGUUCCGACCUGCACGAAUGGUGUAACGACUUGGGCAUUGUCUCAACGAGGGUCCCGGCGAAAUUGUAGUUGCGGUGAAGAUACCGCAUACCCGCGGAAGGACGAAAAGACCCCGGAACCUUUACUGUAACUUGGUAUUGGGUUUUGGUAUGGUCUGUGUAGUAUAGGUGGGAGGCUUUGAAGCCGGGGCGUCAGCUUCGGUGGAGCCAUCAGUGAAAUACCACCCUUUUCAUGUCGAAAUUCUAACCCUUCCUGUGCAAGGUGGGGGACAUUGCUAGGCAGGCAGUUUUACUGGGGCGGUAGCCUCCUAAAAUGUAACGGAGGCGUCCAAAGGUUCCCUCAGCGCGGUCGGCAAUCGCGUGAAGAGUAUAAGGGCAAAAGGGAGCUUAACUGUGAGGCCGACAGGCCGAGCAGAGUCGAAAGACGGGCCUAGUGAACCUGCGGUACCGUGUGGAAGGGCCGCAGAUUAACGGAUAAAAGGUACUCCGGGGAUAACAGGCUAAUCCCGCCCGAGAGUUCCCAUCGACGGCGGGGUUUGGCACCUCGAUGUCGGCUCGUCACAUCCUGGGGCUGAAGCAGGUCCCAAGGGUUGGGCUGUUCGCCCAUUAAAGUGGCACGCGAGCUGGGUUCAGAACGUCGUGAGACAGUUCGGACUUCAUCCUCCGUGGGCGUUUAGAGACUUGAGGAGAGCUGUCCUUUGUACGAGAGGACCAGGAUGGACGGACCUCUGGUGUACCUGUUGUCACGCCAGUGGCACAGCAGGGUAGCUAUGUCCGGAAGGGAUAACCGCUGAAAGCAUCUAAGCGGGAAGCCCCCCCCAAGAUUAGGUCUCUCGUUUCCUGCCUUCGGGUGGGAAACUAAGGUUCCUCAGAGAUUAUGAGGUUGAUAGGCGACAGGUGUAAGCGCAGUAAUGCGUUCAGCUAAGUCGUACUAAUAAACCGAGAAGCUUGUCCAA